CACGUAGGGGGCAAGCGUUGUCCGGAUUCAUUGGGCGUAAAGAGCUCGUAGGCGGUUCGAUAAGUCGGGUGUGAAACCUCCAGGCUCAACCUGGAGACGCCACCCGAUACUGUCGUGACUAGAGUCCAGUAGGGGAGCGUGGAAUUCCUGGUGUAGCGGUGAAAUGUGUAGAGAUCGGGAGGAACACCCGUGGCGAAGGCGGGUCUCUGGGACGGUACUGACGCUGAGACGCGAAAGCGUGGGGAGCGAACAGG
rnacentral:rRNA from 1 species